rnacentral:tRNA from 1 species
UCCCUGGUAGCUUAGUUGGUAAAGAAUCUGCCUGCAAUGCAGGAGACACCAGUUUGAUUCCUGGGCUGGGAA